ACGAACGCUGGCGGCGUGCUUAACACAUGCAAGUCGAACGGAAAGGCCCUGCUUUUGUGGGGUGCUCGAGUGGCGAACGGGUGAGUAACACGUGAGUAACCUGCCCUUGACUUUGGGAUAACUUCAGGAAACUGGGGCUAAUACCGGAUAGGAGCUCCUGCUGCAUGGUGGGGGUUGGAAAGUUUCGGCGGUUGGGGAUGGACUCGCGGCUUAUCAGCUUGUUGGUGGGGUAGUGGCUUACCAAGGCUUUGACGGGUAGCCGGCCUGAGAGGGUGACCGGCCACAUUGGGACUGAGAUACGGCCCAGACUCCUACGGGAGGCAGCAGUGGGGAAUAUUGCACAAUGGGCGGAAGCCUGAUGCAGCAACGCCGCGUGCGGGAUGACGGCCUUCGGGUUGUAAACCGCUUUAGCCUGUGACGAAGCGUGAGUGACGGUAAUGGGUAAAGAAGCACCGGCUAACUACGUG
rnacentral:rRNA from 1 species